GAAAUAAGUUAGCAUCAGUUCCUGGUGCAAUUGGGAUCAUUCAGUUUUGUGGCCAUUCUGAUAAAGCUUGGUUUUAUUUUAGGCCCACUUUAAAGUUCUUGUAUCCUGGCACAAGACACGGAUGGUAAAUCUAGGGUACCCGAAGAUACACUGUGCAAAUUAACAAACUUUCCAGAUGUUUGGAGACUGUAGGCUUGUUUUCUGUGCUGUUUUUCUAUGUUCUUUGUGUGUCUGUGCUUUCCCGUUUUGUUUUAAGUAGGAAAACCCCUUGGGGAAGAGGGAUCUGUUCUUUGGCAUGGGGAACAAAACAAGUAUUAAAUUUUUUGUGAAACCUUUAAGUUGGAUUUGCCAUUUCUGUGAGAGAAAGGAGAGGCAGCUUUGUUCCCAAAAGGGAGACUGCUAGGAAGGCUGGUGUAGGGGUGCGACUCUGUGGAAGUAACUAAAAGGAGUUCUUCACAUCCCUAGUGAUUUUCAGUUAUGAAAUGGGCCACUAAUGCUCUGAAUCAGCAGUCUUCUAACCACGCCUGACUAAAUAGACCUUGUUUUUGAAAUUCACAGCAGUGUCUAGAUCCCUGCUGUCUUUUUGUCCAUCCUGCUAACACA
rnacentral:lncRNA from 1 species